CACUAAAUGAUUCAUUUAUUUAUAAAACAGAUUGUACAGACAAAAAUUAAAGAUUGUUUUGUUUUUCUCAAAUAAAUUUAUUGAAACAAACCCAAAUUGGACAACAAGACAGAAAAUAUUUUCUGCAAACAUAGGUUUUCUUUUUAUAUCAGAUCAGAUAAGCUAUAAACAUAAAUGUUUUGUUGUGGUGAUAAUAGUGAUGGGCCGAUGAUCGAUUAUAAUCGAAAAUUGAUCGGAAAGCUUCAAAAUCGGCGAUAAUCGAUUGUAAAUUAUCAUAAUCGAUUAUCGCGGAACAUCCGACAAAUUUAUCAAGGGAGGUUACUCAGUAUGAAUUUACGAUUUUUAUCUUGCCGACGUUUCCGCUCAUUUUUAUUUGGGUACAAUUCUUAAGAAUGGCAGACGAAAAUGACGAUGUGCUGUAUGAUUACGGAUGAUUAUCCGGGUGGUAAAUGCAAAAUCCAAAUCUGGCUCUUCUUUGCAUUAAAAAAAAAUCAAGCCAGGACCUCCAACCAAAGAAAACCUUGACAUGAGCAAGGCAUAUUUGCAAAAAAGGCAAAACAAAGGCAAUACAACAAACUUUCAGUUUCAUUUACAACAUGACAAUCCCCAUGAUUCUACUGGUGAAAUGAAGAAAGCCACAAAACAACAGUCCAGGCAAAGUUGAGUUUCGCGCCCCUGAGACUCAACUCUGAUAGACAGGCCAUCAUAGAUGAUGCGUUACUGAAACUUCUUGUCGGCAAAGUGUUCUCUAUCAUUGACCAGACAUUAUUUCUAAAAAACAACAACUUUAAGUUAUACUGGUAGUUUCAUACUGGUGACUUUGGAAUGUCUGAUGUGAACAUUUCAGUUAAAUGUUUGUUUUUUUCCUGAAAGAAAAGAGAUUUAUUUCUGUU